rnacentral:rRNA from 1 species
UACGUAGGUGGCAAGCGUUGUCCGGAAUUAUUGGGCGUAAAGCGCGCGCAGGCGGUCCUUUAAGUCUGAUGUGAAAGCCCACGGCUCAACCGUGGAGGGUCAUUGGAAACUGGGGGACUUGAGUACAGAAGAGAAGAGUGGAAUUCCACGUGUAGCGGUGAAAUGCGUAGAGAUGUGGAGGAACACCAGUGGCGAAGGCGGCUCUCUGGACCUGUCCUGACGCUCAGGCGCGAAAGCUAGGGGAGCAAACAGG